GCGCGCCUCGGGUUCGCAUCCCGGGCCCCGGACGGCCGCCGAGCAUGGAGGAGAAGUACCUGCCGGAGCUGAUGGCGGAGAAGGACUCCCUGGACCCUUCCUUCACGCACGCCCUGCGGCUGGUGAACCAAGAAAUAGAAAAGUUUCAAAAAGGAGAAGGCAAGGAUGAAGAAAAGUACAUCGAUGUGGUGAUUAAUAAGAACAUGAAGCUGGGACAGAAAGUGUUAAUUCCUGUAAAACAGUUCCCUAAGUUCAACUUUGUGGGGAAACUUUUGGGUCCACGUGGCAAUUCUCUGAAACGUUUGCAAGAAGAAACCUUGACAAAAAUGUCCAUCCUUGGAAAAGGUUCCAUGAGAGACAAAACAAAGGAAGAAGAGUUGAGAAAAAGUGGAGAAGCAAAGUACUUCCAUCUCAAUGAUGAUCUCCAUGUGCUCAUUGAAGUGUUUGCCCCACCAGCAGAAGCUUAUGCCCGGAUGGGACAUGCUUUGGAAGAAAUCAAAAAGUUCCUCAUCCCUGACUAUAAUGAUGAGAUCAGGCAAGCACAGCUCCAGGAACUAACGUAUUUGAAUGGUGGUUCAGAAAAUGCAGAUGUUCCAGUGGUUCGAGGGAAACCUACCUUGCGUACCAGAGGUGUACCAACCCCUGCAAUCACCAGGGGGAGAGGAGGAGUCACAGCCCGGCCAGUUGGAGUUGGUGUCCCCCGAGGGACACCAGCUGCCAGGGGAGUCCUUUCCACCCGAGGGCCAGUGAGUCGAGGAAGAGGACUUCUCACUCCGAGAGCAAGAGGUGUUCCCCCAACGGGGUACAGACCUCCACCGCCACCUCCAACACAGGAGACCUAUGGAGAGUAUGACUAUGAUGAUGGAUAUGGCACGGCUUAUGAUGAACAGAGUUAUGAUUCCUAUGAUAACAGCUAUAGCACCCCAGCCCAAAGUGGUGCUGAUUACUAUGAUUAUGGACACGGGCUCAGUGAGGAGACCUACGAUUCCUAUGGGCAAGAGGAGUGGACCAACUCAAGACACAAGGCACCUUCAGCGAGGACAGCGAAGGGCGUCUACAGAGACCAGCCAUAUGGCAGAUACUGAUUGUACUGUCUGAUGUUGUGAAAUAGCCAGUCUCCACCAGUCCUGUAUACUGUUCAAAGAGACAUCAGUCAUCUUGGAAUGUCAGAGGAACUGGUUUACACCUGGAACAAAGGAAUGUGCCCUCUGUUUAUGGACUUCUUAAGAAUAGUCACCUCACCAGCGUGCCUAGUCAGUAAUGAAUCUACUUGGGACCUUGAAAAUCAUCUUAGUUUAAUUUUUUUUCCAACCAAAUUUGUGUUCUGUGAAAUGUUUUUAUAAAAUGGUAUGCAUUUCAAUUUGGAAAUCCUGUUUUUGAAAAAAAAAAUUUAUUGUCUCCUAAUAACAAAAGACAGUGAUUUGUGUAAUAAUUAAUAAAAACUGCCCACUGUGCCCAUCAGAGGUCUUUCACUCCGCUAGAAAGUGAGAAAAAAAAUCUUUUUAUGUAGCACAACUUUAAAGUGUUAUACACUUGAGAACCAACUACAGCUGCAACUCAUUGCAAGAACUCAAGAUUCUUCUACACUUACUCUGAUUUGUCCAUCUCGAUUAAACACAAAAGUGUAAAGCAAAAUAUGCUGUCACCUAAAAGAUUAAUUAUAGAGGUUUUCUUCAAGAAGCAAAAUGAUAUGGAAUAGAAGCCUGCUUUUUCAUGCCUCCCUGUAAUUUGUCACGGCACAUAAA